AACAUACACCCAUGAGUCAACCAAAUAAGGGUUGUUGAGCUUUUAGUUUGUGUUGUUGUGCUUGCUUCGCUAGAUUAUUUAUUCCUCUUGGCUCUUGCCAUAGUUUACUGUUCUUUGUUACUCUUCAGAAUUUUUAAAUACCCCUCUCUCUUUCUGUCAAAAGCUUGUGGAAACCGUAUAUUCUGUUAGGGUUCCCUAACUGAUCGAUUCACUCAUUUUGCUCCAUCUGUGUUUCUCUUAUAAAUAGCAAAGUUCCAUUGAGGGUGUGUCUAUUUUGUAUGCUAAUCUUGAUCUUUCCCAGAAUCUAUUGGACAACACAAGUGAUCAAGAGUGAAAUCCUCACCAAUAUGGACCCUUGAUGGACAAUUUCAUGCUUAAGUUACAUCGGCAAGCUCCUUAGAUUCUUCAUAUCCAAUCCCUGAUGAAAAAGAAGGAGCAAUCUGAGUAGAAGAUGGCUCACUUUUUCCUUAGUCUUUUUGUAUCUUUUUUAUAGCUUGUUUGUCAGAACUAAUAGCCAGUUAGAUGAUGUAUGUUUAUUAUUCUUUGAACACUGGCACAUAGAUUUCAGAGAAUACAUAAAGCUUUUACAAGCGGUUCCAAUGGCUCA